GAUGAACGCUAGCUACAGGCUUAACACAUGCAAGUCGCGGGGCAGCAUGGGGGUUGCUUGCAAUCCCCGAUGGCGACCGGCGCACGGGUGAGUAACGCGUAUCCAACCUGCCCUUCACCACGGGAUAACCCGGCGAAAGUCGGACUAAUACCGUAUGUUGUCCAUUGACGGCAUCCGAUUUGGACGAAAGGCUUGGCGGUGAGGGAGGGGGAUGCGUCCGAUUAGCCAGACGGCGGGGUAACGGCCCACCGUGGCUACGAUCGGUAGGGGUUCUGAGAGGAAGGCACCCCACACUGGAACUGAGACACGGACCAGACUCCUACGGGAGGCAGCAGUGAGGAAUAUUGAGCAAUGGGCGUAAGCCUGAACCAGCCAAGUAGCGUGCAGGAUGGCGGCCCUAUGGGUUGUAAACUGCUUUUAUGCGGGGAUAAAGUGGCCCCCGUGUGGGCUUUUGCAGGUACCGCAUGAAUAAGGACCGGCUAAUUCCGUG
rnacentral:rRNA from 1 species